rnacentral:rRNA from 1 species
UANAGACCCGUAUGAAUNNNAAAACGAGGGNNUAACUGUCUCUUUAUUCUAGUUAAUAAAAUUGAUCCUCCUGUGAANAAGCAGGAAUAUAAACAUAAGACGAGAAGACCCUGUGGAGCUUUAGACAAACCAGGAAAACUUUUAAACCUAAAAUAAACAGAUUACUUAAGUCUUCACCUCGGAAGUGUCUUUGGUUGGGGCGACCGUGGGACACUAAAUAACUCCCACAAAGAAGAAAUAACCCUUUUUUAAACUAAUAUUUCAAAUAAAAGNANCAAAAUUUUUGACAUACAGACCCGGCUUGCCGAUCAACGAAACGNGUUACCCCAGNNNUAACAGCGCAAUCCUCUNUAAGAGUUCU